UGUCCCUCCGCCGUGCUAUCCUGCCUUGGAGCCAGCUGACAAUGGACUGAAACCUCUACAAACUUCAUAUAAAGAUACAAGAAGAAGAUGGCUGUCUGCAAAUCAGGAAGACUGACCUCACCAGACAUUGGAUCUGCUGGUUGUACCUGGAUCUUGAACUUCCCAACCUUCAUAUAAUGUAAUGUUGGAGAGGUCCUUGGCCGGCUGGACCCCACUUUGGCCGACUCGUCACACCCACCUGCAACCAGCGAGAUGGUGAGGACCACUCAGCAAGCCCACCAGCCACCAGCUUAGUGCUUGGGCUCCUGGAAACCACCCCCCACCCCUGGCCUCCUGGUUGUGUCGCUACCUGGUUCCACACUACAGAGGCACAGGGGGCAUAAGGGCCAUUGUCCUGAGCUGCAGAAGUGAAC
rnacentral:lncRNA from 1 species